rnacentral:rRNA from 1 species
AACGAACGCUGGCGGCAUGCCUAACACAUGCAAGUCGAACGAAGGCUUCGGCCUUAGUGGCGCACGGGUGCGUAACGCGUGGGAAUCUGCCCGGGGGUACGGAAUAACUCGCCGAAAGGCGUGCUAAUACCGUAUGAUGACGUAAGUCCAAAGAUUUAUCGCCCUGGGAUGAGCCCGCGUAGGAUUAGCUAGUUGGUGGGGUAAAGGCCUACCAAGGCGACGAUCCUUAGCUGGUCUGAGAGGAUGAUCAGCCACACGGGGACUGAGACACGGACCAGACUCCUACGGGAGGCAGCAGUGGGGAAUAUUGGAAAAUGGGAGAAAGCCUGAUCCAGCAAUGGCGCGAUAGUGAUUAAGGCCUUAGGGUUGUAAAGCUCUUUUACCCGGGAUGAUAAUGACAGUACCGGGAGAAUAAGCCCCGGCUAACACCGUGCCAGCCGCCGCAGUAAGAC